rnacentral:rRNA from 1 species
UACGUAGGGUGCGAGCGUUGUCCGGAUUUAUUGGGCGUAAAGAGCUCGUAGGCGGCUCGUCGCGUCGACCGUGAAAACCCGCGGCUUAACUGCGGGCUUGCGGUUGAUACGGGCGGGCUAGAGUUCGGUAGGGGGAGACUGGAAUUCCUGGUGUAGCGGUGAAAUGCGCAGAUAUCGGGAGGAACACCAGUGGCGAAGGCGAGUCUCUGGGAUGAUGCUGACGCUGAGGCGCGAAAGCUAGGGGGAGCAAACAGG